GAUGAACGCUGGCGGCGUGCCUAAUACAUGCAAGUCGAGCGAACGGACGAGAAGCUUGGUUCUCUGAUGUUAGCGGGGGACGGGUGAGUAACACGUGGAUAACCUACCUAUAAGACUGGGAUAACUUCGGGAAACCGGAGCUAAUACCGGAUAAUAUUUUGAACCGCAUGGUUCAAAAGUGAAAGACGGUCUUGCUGUCACUUAUAGAUGGAUCCGCGCUGCAUUAGCUAGUUGGUAAGGUAACGGCUUACCAAGGCAACGAUGCAUAGCCGACCUGAGAGGGUGAUCGGCCACACUGGAACUGAGACACGGUCCAGACUCCUACGGGAGGCAGCAGUAGGGAAUCUUCCGCAAUGGGCGAAAGCCUGACGGAGCAACGCCGCGUGAGUGAUGAAGGUCUUCGGAUCGUAAAACUCUGUUAUUAGGGAAGAACAUAUGUGUAAGUAACUGUGCACAUCUUGACGGUACCUAAUCAGAAAGCCACGGCUAACUACGUG
rnacentral:rRNA from 1 species